rnacentral:rRNA from 1 species
GGGUAGUUUGACUGGGGCGGUCUCCUCCUAAAGAGUAACGGAGGAGCACGAAGGUUGGCUAAUCCUGGUCGGACAUCAGGAGGUUAGUGCAAUGGCAUAAGCCAGCUUGACUGCGAGCGUGACGGCGCGAGCAGGUGCGAAAGCAGGUCAUAGUGAUCCGGUGGUUCUGAAUGGAAGGGCCAUCGCUCAACGGAUAAAAGGUACUCCGGGGAUAACAGGCUGAUACCGCCCAAGAGUUCAUAUCGACGGCGGUGUUUGGCACCUCGAUGUCGGCUCAUCACAUCCUGGGGCUGAAGUAGGUCCCAAGGGUAUGGCUGUUCGCCAUUUAAAGUGGUACGCGAGCUGGGUUUAGAACGUCGUGAGACAGUUCGGUCCCUAUCUGCCGUGGGCGCUGGAGAACUGAGGGGGGCUGCUCCUAGUACGAGAGGACCGGAGUGGACGCAUCACUGGUGUUCGGGUUGUCAUGCCAAUGGCACUGCCCGGUAGCUAAAUGCGGAAGAGAUAAGUGCUGAAAGCAUCUAAGCACGAAACUUGCCCCGAGAUGAGUUCUCCCUGACCCUUUAAGGGUCCUGAAGGAACGUUGAAGACGACGACGUUGAUAGGCCGGGUGUGUAAGCGCAGCGAUGCGUUGAGCUAACCGGUACUAAUGAACCGU